rnacentral:lncRNA from 10 species
AUGCCUUCCACUUCUUCCAUCUGCCCUGUCUCUCCAAGAACCCCUAUGGCCCCGGUCUCAGAACAGAGCUGAGUGCAGAAAUGAAAAUCUAUGGCUCUGUGUUCCAAAACGAUGAAGAAUUUCAAGAUGGUGGCAGUGGUAAAAUCUUUCUCCAGGAAAAAUCUGUCCUUGGCCCAAUGUGUAAACACUUGCUGAGUAUUGUGAAACCAGCAACUUGUUCACAAUUCUUCUGAAUUUCUUGGGAAAUUUGAAGUGGAGUACCUGUACCAACAUGAAAUGACACGAAUUUAAGUGACGCUCAACAACGAAAAGCAAAAAGAACCAAAGAGGAAGCAACUGAAACAACAUCUGGAUGUAUUUAAAAAUAUACAAUGCCUCCAAAAUCAGGUGUCAUUAAUGAAAAUUCUGAAGAAAUGCCACCGGACAUAGCCAACGCACCUACGCUGUUGUUAUUCAUUUCCUGCUUUUCACAGAAAACAAUUUUGUUGCAUGGAAGAUCGUGAACUUCAAAGGGCAGAGGGGAAACUGUCCCUUGGCCUCUACCCCUCCAAGGCCCCACUUUUUUGUCAACACUCCUUGGACGCAGCAGAAGUAUGAACAUAAUAUGGUCCUGAAUGAGGCUGAGUCUUUGGGCGCAGAAGACCCGGGUUAAUAAAAAUAGGAAGGUAAGAAAAGAAAAGAAAAAUCAAGACACAUCAUAGGACUAAAUUCCUAUUAUUUAUCCACUCAGGAUUGACCACCCCUUUGGGCCAGAUAGUUGUACCCCCAUGUACCAGGUGGGCACAUGAAGACACAAGAAGUGCUGUGAUGGUUCAUUUUGCACGUCACCUUGCGUGGAGUAUGCCAACUCAUUGUUUGGUCAAACACUAGUCUGGACAUGGUGGUAAAGGUAUUUUUUAGAUGAGAUUAACACUUAAAUCAGUAAAGCAGGUUACCCACCAUACUACGGGUGGGCCCUGUCCAAUCAGUUGAAGGCAUUAAGAACAAAGAUUGAGGUUUCCUAAAGAAGAUGGAAUUCUCCUUGAGACUACAACAUAGAAACCCUAUCUGAGUUUCCAGCCUGUUGCCCUGUGGAAUUCAAACUCAGGACUCCGGUCUAUGACAUUAACCCUCACUUAACUUUUCAGCCUGCCAGCCUGCCCUAUGGAUUUCGGACUUGCCAGCCACACAAUUCCUUAAAAUAAAU